UAUCAUCUAGCUUAGAGGUAAAGCGUCAACCUUUUAAGUUGAAGUUCCGAGUUCAAGUCUUCGGGGUGGUA
rnacentral:tRNA from 1 species